CCUCCCUCGCCCUGUUUUACAAAAACAUGGUCUUUUGUUUUAUAUAAAAGAUAUAACCUGCCCUAUGAUUUAUUUUAAAUGGCUGCAGUAUUUUGACUGUACAAAGGUAGCAUAAUCAUUUGUCUUUUAAUUGAAGGCUAGUAUGAAUGGUUGGAUGAAAAAUAUACUUUCUUUACUUUAUAUUAAAUAAAUUAACUUUUUAGUUAAAAGGCUAAAAUAAUAUUAUAGGACGAGAAGACCCUAUAGAACUUUAUUUUCUUUAUAUAUAAAUUUUAUAGUUUAUAAUAGAAUUAUAUAUUUAUGUUAAUUAUGUUGGGGUGACAGAAAAAAUAAUAUAACUUUUUCUAUUUUUUUCAUAUAUAUAUGUUUUUUUGAUCCUAUAUUAUAGAUAAUAAGAUUAAGUUACCUUAGGGAUAACAGCGUUAUUUUCUUUGAGAGUUCUUAUCGAUAAGAAAGUUUGCGACCUCGAUGUUGGAUUAAAAUAAGUGACAGGAGUAGAAUAUUGUUUAUUAGGUCUGUUCGACCUUUAAAUUUUUACAUGAUCUAGUUUCUAAC
rnacentral:rRNA from 1 species